UACGGAGGUGGCAAGCGUUGCUCGGAAUCACUGGGCGUAAAGGGUGCGUAGGCGGGUCUUUAAGUCAGGGGUGAAAUCCUGGAGCUCAACUCCAGAACUGCCUUUGAUACUGAAGAUCUUGAGUUCGGGAGAGGUGAGUGGAACUGCGAGUGUAGAGGUGAAAUUCGUAGAUAUUCGCAAGAACACCAGUGGCGAAGGCGGCUCACUGGCCCGAUACUGACGCUGAUGCACGAAAGCGUGGGGAGCAAACAGG
rnacentral:rRNA from 1 species